AACGCGAAGAACCUUACCAAGUCUUGACAUCCCUCUGACCGGUUCGCAAUGGAACCAUCUCUUCGGAGCAGAGGAGACAGGUGGUGCAUGGUUGUCGUCAGCUCGUGUCGUGAGAUGUUGGGUUAAGUCCCGCAACGAGCGCAACCCUUAUCUUUAGUAGCCAGCAGGUGAAGCUGGGCACUCUAGAGAGACUGCCGGGGAUAACCUGGAGGAAGGUGGGGAUGACGUCAAAUCAUCAUGCCCCUUAUGACUUGGGCUACACACGUGCUACAAUGGCGUAAACAAAGGGAAGCAGCCCUGUGAAGGUGAGCAAAUCCCAAAAAUAACGUCUCAGUUCGGAUUGUAGUCUGCAACUCGACUACAUGAAGCUGGAAUCGCUAGUAAUCGCGAAUCAGAAUGUCGCGGUGAAUACGUUCCCGGGCCUUGUACACACCGAGUAUA
rnacentral:rRNA from 1 species